GCAGUCGAGCGGACAGAAGGGAGCUUGCUCCCGGAUGUUAGCGGCGGACGGGUGAGUAACACGUGGGUAACCUGCCUGUAAGACUGGGAUAACUCCGGGAAACCGGAGCUAAUACCGGAUAGUUCCUUGAACCGCAUGGUUCAAGGAUGAAAGACGGUUUCGGCUGUCACUUACAGAUGGACCCGCGGCGCAUUAGCUAGUUGGUGGGGUAAUGGCUCACCAAGGCGACGAUGCGUAGCCGACCUGAGAGGGUGAUCGGCCACACUGGGACUGAGACACGGCCCAGACUCCUACGGGAGGCAGCAGUAGGGAAUCUUCCGCAAUGGACGAAAGUCUGACGGAGCAACGCCGCGUGAGUGAUGAAGGUUUUCGGAUCGUAAAGCUCUGUUGUUAGGGAAGAACAAGUGCGAGAGUAACUGCUCGCACCUUGACGGUACCUAACCAGAAAGCCACGGCUAACUACGUGCCAGCAGCCGCGGUAAUACGUAGGUGGCAAGCGUUGUCCGGAAUUAUUGGGCGUAAAGGGCUCGCAGGCGGUUUCUUAAGUCUGAUGUGAAAGCCCCCGGCUCAACCGGGGAGGGUCAUUGGAAACUGGGAAACUUGAGUGCAGAAGAGGAGAGUGGAAUUCCACGUGUAGCGGUGAAAUGCGUAGAGAUGUGGAGGAACACCAGUGGCGAAAGCGACUCUCUGGUCUGUAACUGACGCUGAGGAGCGAAAGCGUGGGGAGCGAACAGGAUUAGAUACCCUGGUAGUCCACGCCGUAACGAUGAGUGCUAAGUGUUAGGGGGUUUCCGCCCCUUAGU
rnacentral:rRNA from 1 species